rnacentral:rRNA from 1 species
GCCAGACUCCUACGGGAGGCAGCAGUGGGGAAUAUUGCACAAUGGGGGAAACCCUGAUGCAGCGACGCCGCGUGAAGGAAGAAGUAUUUCGGUAUGUAAACUUCUAUCAGCAGGGAAGAAAAUGACGGUACCUGACUAAGAAGCCCCGGCUAACUACGUGCCAGCAGCCGCGGUAAUACGUAGGGGGCAAGCGUUAUCCGGAUUUACUGGGUGUAAAGGGGGCGCAGACGGCAGCGCAAGCCAGGAGUGAAAGCCCGGGGCCCAACCCCGGGACUGCUCUUGGAACUGCGCGGCUGGAGUGCAGGAGAGGUAAGUGGAAUUCCUAGUGUAGCGGUGAAAUGCGUAGAUAUUAGGAGGAACACCAGUGGCGAAGGCGUCUUACUGGACCGAAACUGACGUUGAGGCUCGAAAGUGUGGGGAGCAAACAGGAUUAGAUACCCCGGUAGA